rnacentral:rRNA from 1 species
AUGGAAAACCAGACCAGUACAAACUUGAACAAAAUUGGUGAAGAGGAGAAUGAAGGAGCAAAUGACAGAGCCUACUUCGCCGACCGCGUCAACGCCACCACCGUGAAGGCCACGGCGAGCACGGGCCACGAAUUCAAGGUCACCUUUUGUCUCGCCGACCCGCCCGCCGUCUCCUACUUCUGCGUCCACUGCCCCGAAGGUUGUUACACCACGGAGCCCCGCGUCGUCUCCUCCGCCAGUGACCUCGUGCUCCUCUGCUUCGCCUUCAGCUCCGGCCCACGGAGCACAGAAAAAGACUCCCAUCUCGAGUACUUCGUCUACAAGGCUGCCUCCGACGGCAAGCCCACCAUCAGAUCUGUUCCGUGUUCCCCUCGAGCCUACGUGCACUCAUGGCACGCCGCCAUCGUGCCCGGCAAGGGCGACAAUUUCUUGGUCGCUGAUCUUUCCCUGAAUGGGGACCCUGGGCACUACAACCUGCACAUCUUCUUGUCGGAGACAAACGAGUGGAGCACCAAACAUGUGCAGCUGCAGACCGACCCGAAUGUCCUGCCACUGGAGCUGCCAAUCCUAACUGACAAGGUGAUCUUGCUCGGAAGAAGCACAGUAGGAUGGGUCGACCUCUGGCGUGGCAUUGUCGUCUGCAAUUUGCUUGAAAAGGAGCCUGUUCCCCAUUUCAUCCCGCUGCCCAAGGCCGAAUUCGACCUGCACCGGAAAAGCAAAGCACGGCAAGUGCGGGACGUCAUUGGCUUCACCGAUGGUUACAUCAACUUCAUCGAGAUCGAACACUGUCUCAGGUGGUUCCCCGUUGUCAGAAAGAGCAAUUUGAAGACAGCCAUGAUUUUUGAUGUUGCAGAUACCAUCGAUGAUGCAGAGCUCCUCAGUCUUGAUGAUAUGGACGGCGUUAGAGAUGACAAACCUGUGCAGCAUGUACCUGCUGGCUGGAAGAUCCGGACAAUGUUUAGGAGCAUUGAUUGGAACUAUUGGGAAAGUAGUCACAUUCUUCAUGUUGACGAAAUAUCAGCCUCCCCACCUGAACCCUCUGUGCUGCAAUCUCAUCUAUGGAAUGAUACAGACAAGAAAUGGACAUUGGGAAAACUGAAGUGUACAAGCUUCCCGACCUUUGGUUUUUACGGCGGUGAUGUUGUCUAUCUCGUGUCUAAGGCGGAGUCUCAGGAUAAUGAUGCAUUGCUUGUUGGUGUUGAUAUUCGAAAAAUGAAGCUGGAAUCCAUCAAAGCAUAUGGCUGCGGGAGAUCCAUUUCUUUUGGUCCCAUUCCGGUUGUUCGUUUUAAAAUUGGAAGGAAGCAGGAAGUCAUCGAACCAUCUUGUGGCGGGAGAUCCGCUUCUUUUGAUGCCAUUUCAUGUGCAUUCUCAAAAUAUCUAAAUACCGCUCCAAGUCCAAGGCAUGGUUUUCUUUUGCUCUGCUUCUGUUGA